rnacentral:rRNA from 1 species
GACGAACGCUGGCGGCGUGCCUAAUACAUGCAAGUAGAACGCUGAAGGAGGAGCUUGCUUCUCUGGAUGAGUUGCGAACGGGUGAGUAACGCGUAGGUAACCUGCCUGGUAGCGGGGGAUAACUAUUGGAAACGAUAGCUAAUACCGCAUAAUAUUGACUAUUGCAUGAUAGUUGAUUAAAAGGUGCAAUUGCAUCACUACCAGAUGGACCUGCGUUGUAUUAGCUAGUUGGUGGGGUAACGGCUCACCAAGGCGACGAUACAUAGCCGACCUGAGAGGGUGAUCGGCCACACUGGGACUGAGACACGGCCCAGACUCCUACGGGAGGCAGCAGUAGGGAAUCUUCGGCAAUGGACGGAAGUCUGACCGAGCAACGCCGCGUGAGUGAAGAAGGUUUUCGGAUCGUAAAGCUCUGUUGUAAGAGAAGAACGAGUGUGAGAGGGAAAGUUCAC